GAUGAACGCUGGCGGCGUGCUUAACACAUGCAAGUCGAACGAACCUUCGGGUUAGUGGCGGACGGGUGAGUAACGCGUGAGAAUCUGCCCUCAGGAGGGGGAUAACGGCUGGAAACGGCCGCUAAUACCCCAUAUGCCGAGAGGUGAAACGAAUUUCGCCUGAGGAUGAGCUCGCGUCUGAUUAGCUAGUUGGUGGGGUAAGAGCCUACCAAGGCUUCGAUCAGUAGCUGGUCUGAGAGGAUGAUCAGCCACACUGGGACUGAGACACGGCCCAGACUCCUACGGGAGGCAGCAGUGGGGAAUUUUCCGCAAUGGGCGAAAGCCUGACGGAGCAACGCCGCGUGAGGGAUGAAGGCCUCUGGGCUGUAAACCUCUUUUAUCAAGGAAGAAGAUCUGACGGUACUUGAUGAAUAAGCCACGGCUAAUUCCGUG
rnacentral:rRNA from 1 species